rnacentral:pre_miRNA from 1 species
UGGCCUCCGCAGGGUUGAAGCUGCUAGAGAAGCUUCAACCUUAAGGGGGCCUCA